CGCGGGAAUCUUACCGGGUCCGGACACACUGAGGAUUGACAGGUAUUAUUACGUAUUCACUUCGGUGAUACGUAUGUUAAAUAUGCUAGUCCUUUCAUGAUUAUGUGAUAGGUGGUGCAUGGCCGUUCUUAGUUCGUGGAGUGAUCUGUCUGCUUAAUUGCGUUUCACUAAAGGUCCAUUAUUUAACGUAUGUCGCGGCGCUUUGACCCCUCAUUAAUUUGAGCGUUGUGUCUUAGUUUUUGCUUAGCGCAUACAUUUGGACCUUGAAAGCAACGAACGUGACCGCAACCUCUUGUUGCCUUUAUACCAAAUGCGUCCACAUAAUUUUUAUUAUGUUGUGUCGCACAAAAAGGCCUUUUAAACUAGAGGGACCGCUGUUACUUUCUUAAACCAGAGGAAGGUUGCGGCAAUAACAGGUCUGUGAUGCCCUUAGAUGUUCCGGGCUGCACACGUGCUACAAUGAUUAUUGCAGUGAGCAUCUCAUUUUAUUACACACCGCAUGCGCGAGCCUAAUUAUUCACUUCGGUGCUUUAAUUAUGUGUCUCUGCGCGCGGUAAAGCCUGCUUCGAAAGUAAGUGGGUAAUCAAUUAGAAGUAAUGAUUUCCUUUUUUAUUCGCACACAUAUAUACGGCAUCUUUACCCGGCCUGCCUUGUUGCAGUGUUCCUGUGUGUAUUGAUGUUUUUUUCCGUAUGUGCAAUUGUCAAUUCAUGGUGGGGACAGACCAUUGUUAAUUGUUGGUCUCGGUCUUAACUAGGAAUGCCUUGUACGGGUCUUUGGUUCAACAAACCACCCGGAAUACGUCCCUGCCCUUUGUACACACCGCCCGUCGCUCUUACCGAUGGACUUCUCUGUGAGUUUGAGGGACUGGAUUUUUAUUUCUAUGGAAACUUAAACGAACAGUGUGGUCUAAAGGAAAGAGAAGUCGUAACAAGGCAUCGUA
rnacentral:rRNA from 1 species